UCCCCGGUAGCUCAGCGGUAGAGCGCUCGCCUGUUAAGCGAAGGGUCGUAGGUUCGAAUCCUACCCGGGGAG
rnacentral:tRNA from 1 species